GCUGACGAGUGGCGGACGGGUGAGUAAUGUCUGGGAAACUGCCUGAUGGAGGGGGAUAACUACUGGAAACGGUGGCUAAUACCGCAUAACGUCGCAAGACCAAAGAGGGGGACCUUCGGGCCUCUUGCCAUCAGAUGUGCCCAGAUGGGAUUAGCUUGUUGGUGAGGUAACGGCUCACCAAGGCGACGAUCCCUAGCUGGUCUGAGAGGAUGACCAGCCACACUGGAACUGAGACACGGUCCAGACUCCUACGGGAGGCAGCAGUGGGGAAUAUUGCACAAUGGGCGCAAGCCUGAUGCAGCCAUGCCGCGUGUAUGAAGAAGGCCUUCGGGUUGUAAAGUACUUUCAGCGGGGAGGAAGGUGUUGUGGUUAAUAACCGCAGCAAUUGACGUUACCCGCAGAAGAAGCACCGGCUAACUCCGUGCCAGCAGCCGCGGUAAUACGGAGGGUGCA
rnacentral:rRNA from 1 species